CCUACGGGUGGCAGCAGUGAGGAAUAUUGGUCAAUGGCCGUAAGGCUGAACCAGCCAAGUCGCGUGAGGGAAGAAGGUUCUAUGGUUUGUAAACCUCUUUUAUGGGGGAGUAAAGGUAUCCACGCGUGGCUAUUUGCAUGUACCCGAUGAAUAAGCAUCGGCUAACUCCGUGCCAGCAGCCGCGGUAAUACGGAGGAUGCGAGCGUUAUCCGGAUUUGUUGGGUUUAAAGGGUGCGUCGGGUGUUUUGUAAGUCCGCGGGGAAAGUUUGUGGCUCAACCAUUACAUUGCCGUUGAAACUGGAAGACUUGAGUGUGUGAGAGGUAGGCGGAAUGCGUGGUGUAGCGGUGAAAUGCAUAGAUAUCACGCAGAACUCUGAUUGCGAAGGCAGCUUACUAGGCCAUAACUGACGCUGAAGCACGAAAGCGUGGGGAUCGAACAGGAUUAGAUACCCCUGUAGUC
rnacentral:rRNA from 1 species